rnacentral:rRNA from 1 species
CUUGACUGUAGCUUGGAAUUGGGUUCGGGCUCUUCUUGCGCAGACUAGGUGGGAGGCUAUGAAGGUUUUCUUCCGGGAAAGUUGGAGCCAACAGUGAGAGACCACUCUGGAAAGGCUAGAAUCCUAAUGGUGAUCCUUGAAUCAGGACACUUGACAGUUUCAGGUGGGCAGUUUGUUUGGGGCGAACGCCUCAUAAAAGGUAACUGAGGCGCGCAAAGGUCCCCUCAGUCUGGACGGAAAUCAGACAUUGAGUGUAAAGGCAAAAGGGGGCUUGACUGCAAGACCCACAAGUCGAGCAGGAGCGAAAGCUGGCCUUAGUGAUCCGACGGUGCCGUGUGGAAGGGCCGUCGCUCAACGAAUAAAAGUUA